AUUGAACGCUGGCGGCAGGCCUAACACAUGCAAGUCGAACGAGUGGCGGACGGGUGAGUAAUGUCUGGGAAACUGCCUGAUGGAGGGGGAUAACUACUGGCAACGGUAGCUAAUACCGCAUACCCUCAGAUGUGCCCAGAUGGGAUUAGCUAGUUGGUGGGGUAACGGCUCACCAAGGCGACGAUCCCUAGCUGGUCUGAGAGGAUGACCAGCAACACUGGAACUGAGACACGGUCCAGACUCCGACGGGAGGCAGCAGUGGGGAAUAUUGCACAAGGGGCGCAAGCCUGAUGCAGCCAGGCCGCGUGUAUGAAGAAGGCCUUCGGGUUGUAAAGUACGUUCAGCGGGGAGGCGUUACCCGCAGAAGAAGCACCGGCUAACGCCGUGCCAGCAGCCGAGGUAAUUC
rnacentral:rRNA from 1 species